CCUACGGGUGGCAGCAGUAGGGAAUCUUGCUCAAUGGGGGAAACCCUGACGUAGCAACGCCGCGUGAAGGAUGAAGGUUUUCGGAUCGUAAAGCUCUUUUGUUAGAGAAGAUCAUGUCUGUAUGUAACGAAUUCGCACUGUCUCACUCCGUUCCAGCCGCCGAGGUCAUACGGAGGGUGCAAGCGCGACUCGGAAUUAAUGGGCGCAAAGCGCGCGUAGGCGGGGUAGAAAGGCAGCUGUGAAAGCCUAUGGCUUAACUAUAGGAAUGCAUUGGAAACUGUUGUACUAGAGUGUGUGAGGGGUGGGUGGAAUUCUAGGUGUAGGGGUGAAAUGCGUAGAGAUAAGGAGGAACACUGGUGGCGAAGGCGACCUGCUGGAGUGUAACUGACGCUGAUGCGCGAAAGCGUGGGGAGCAAACAGGAUUAGAUACCCGUGUAGUC
rnacentral:rRNA from 1 species